CCUACGGGAGGCUGCAGUGGGGGAUAUUGCACAAUGGGGGGAACCCUGAUGCAGCGACGCCGCGUGGGUGAAGAAGCACCUCGGCGCGUAAAGCCCUGUCAGCAGGGAAGAAAAUGACGGUACCUGAAGAAGAAGCCCCGGCUAACUACGUGCCAGCAGCCGCGGUAAUACGUAGGGGGCAAGCGUUAUCCGGAUUUACUGGGUGUAACGGGGGCGCAGACGGCGAUGCAAGCCAGGAGUGAAAGCCCGGGGCCCAACCCCGGGACUGAUCUUGGAACUGCGUUGCUGGAGUGCAGGAGGGGCAGGCGGAAGUCCUGGUGUAGCGGUGAAAUGCGUAGAUAUCAGGAGGAACACCGGUGGCGAAGGCGGCCUGCUGGACUGCAACUGACGUUGAGGCCCGAAAGUGUGGGUAUCAAACAGGAUUAGAUACCCGAGUAGUC
rnacentral:rRNA from 1 species